rnacentral:rRNA from 1 species
ACGUAGGGGGCAAGCGUUAUCCGGAAUUAUUGGGCGUAAAGAGCGCGCAGGUGGUUAUAUAAGUCUGAUUUUAAAGUUCAGGGCUCAACCCCGGAAUGGAUUGGAAACUGUAUGACUUGAGUACAGGAGAGGUAAGCGGAAUUCCCAGUGUAGCGGUGAAAUGCGUAGAUAUUGGGAGGAACACCAGUGGCGAAGGCGGCUUACUGGGCUGUAACUGACACUGAGGCGCGAAAGCUUGGGGAGCAAACGG